CUACGGGAUGCACCAGUGAGGAAUAUUGCACAAUGGGGGGAACCCUGAUGCAGCAACGCCGCGUGGAGGAUGACGCAUUUCGGUGUGUAAACUCCUUUUAUAUGUCAAGAAAAUGACGGUAGCAUAUGAAUAAGCACCGGCUAACUCCGUGCCAGCAGCCGCGGUAAUACGGGAGGGUGCAAGCGUUACUCGGAAUCACUGGGCGUAAAGGACGCGUAGGCGGGUUGGAAAGUCAGGUGUGAAAUCCUACAGCUUAACUGUAGAACUGCACUUGAAACUUCUAAUCUAGAGUAUGGGAGGGGGAGAUGGAAUUAGUGGUGUAGGGGUAAAAUCCGUAGAUAUCACUAGGAAUACCUAAAGCGAAGGCGAUCUCCUGGAACAUUACUGACGCUAAGGCGUGAAAGCGUGGGGAGCAAACAGGAUUAGAUACCCUCGUAGUC
rnacentral:rRNA from 1 species